CAGGGCACCCAGCUGUCCCACUAGCUAUCUAUUUUACACAGGGAGGUAUAAGGGAAUGUAAUCCAAACUCAAGUUUAAGGAGAGCUUUCUAUUUCUUGGCAAUGGCAAAACACCGCCAUCUGGGGCUUGUCUAUGUCACUGAAAAGAGGAUUCCUCCUGUCGUAACUGGAGCAUGGUGAGGCAGCUUGGAAUUUGCAUGUGGGCUCAGAUCUUACUUAAAUCACCAGUUUUAUCGGAGUAGCAAGUCUCCAGGCAACAACACUCACUAAAUGCGUUUGCUCAAAACCAGAAACAACAUGGGCUUGGGCUGAGAGGGGUCCUCCUGCUGGUGACUCAGCAGACCAAGGGGCGUCUGUGAAGACAGGUCACCCUGCGGCCACUUCCACCGCGGCUGUCACUGGCUGCGCUUAGUCGCUCAGUCCUGUCCGACUCUUUGUGACCUCAUGGACUGCAGGGCACCAGGCUCCUCUGUCCGUGGGAUUCUCCAGGCCAGAAUACUGGAGUGGGUUGCCAUGCCCUCCUCCAGGGGAUCUUCCCGACCCAGGGAUCAAACCCAGGUCUCCCGCAUUGCCUGUGGAUUCUUUACCAUCUGAGCCACCAGGGACAGGCACCCCCUUCUCAGGCUGUUUUUGAGGAGCCUCCAUACUGUUUUCCGUAGAGGCUAUACCAUCCUGCAUUCCCACUGUGUGUGAAGGUUCCAAAUCCCCACACCCCUGCCAACACUUGCUUUUUGUGGUGGUGGUGGUGGUUUUGAUAAUAGCCAUUCCAAUAGGUGUGAGAUAGUCUCUCACUGUGGUUCUGCUUAAGACACUUUGUUAAUGUGGACCCUUUUCUAAAGUCUUUAGUGAAUUUGCUGCCAUACUGCUCCUGCUGUAUGUUUCGGUGUUUUGGCUGUGAGGCACAUGUGAUCUUAUAGGUCCCUGACCAGGGAACAAGCCUGCACCUCCUGCAUCGGAAGGCACAGUCUUAACCGUGGGACUGCCAGGAAGUCCCUUGCUUUGCAGCCACGUAUGAUGGACAUAUUUUUGUUCUUUUGACAUGGUGGCUUAUUCCCGUGGCUUCACGAUAUGUUUUGAUAACCUGCAAAUCCAGUUCAGAAGAAAUAGAUUGUAAACAUUCCCAUUUUUCACAAGUUUUUGAGAUAAAACUCAGUAUCUUGAUACCAAAAGGGCCAAGUCAGUAACUAUUAUCAGCAGUAAAUAUUCUCCUACUUGCCUGAAAGUCUGAGCCCCCUGUCACACCACUGCUCACUUCAGGGUCUUCGAUGCUGAGAUCCCACAAAUAAAGAGUUUUGCGUUUCAGUCGCCAUGUCGCCUUUUAUUAAUUGAGGAAGGUUUAUAAAGCUUAAAGGAAAUCAACUCUGAAUAUUCACUGGAAGGCCUGAUGCUGAAGCUGAAGCUCCAAUACUUUGACCAUCUGAUGAGAAGAGCCAGCCCUUUGGAAAAGACCCUGAUGCUGGGAAUAGCUGAAGGCAAGAGGAGAAGGGGGCGACAGAAAAUGAGAUGGUUGGAUGGCAUCACCGACUCAAUGGACACGAGUUUGAGCAAGCUCUGGGAGAUGGUGAAGGACAGGAAAGCCUGGUGUCCAUGGGGUUGCAAAGAGCCAGUCUUGACUUAGCAACUGAACAACAAGAAUAAAGCUUAGCAGAGUGCUGUUGGUAAUUCAUAAAGUCCAUCCACUCGUUGCACUAAAGACUUUAUUUGUGCAAAAUAAGUCUUCCUUCCUUGGUUUAGCACGAUCUCAAUUGCUUUUUAAGGAUUGUUGGUGAAACUGGAGAGAAAGUUCCAGUGCCAGAUUCCAUUUCACUUAAGCAAAGAAAAUCAGAUUAAAAUAAUGAAUGACACUCCAGGAACUGUGAGGCUUCCUGGGGCAGUGAGUGACUGUCCACAGGGCCUUAGCCUGAGACCCCCUCUGUGACAUAAAUAGGGAUGCAUUUCAUCGCAGCUAAGCGUCAGGAAAUAUGCUUUUAAUUAUCACUUAAGAUGUAACCUGUCAGAGGUCUUAGUAUCACUUGUUUUUAAUGAGAAUUGAUUUUCAGAUUGCAUUACCCCGAAAGCCAAGGAUAAUGGAAACCCCUGGUUCUUUCCUGAGACCUUUAGUCACCACAUGUUCCUCCGUCGAUCUCGCUGGCAUCGCCAGCCCCUAGACAUCUGAUCUGCCCACAUGGGGCCCUGGCAGAGGGGCCAGCUUGUUAGCCUUAAAGUGAUUCUGAUGAAUGAGAUUCUACAAAGCUGAGCCUGGCUCACGCGUUUUGCUGCAAAAUGAGCGAGCCCCAGGGAAAACUAAAGAGGGGUUGAAUUUUUCACUGUGGUCCACAGGCUGGCCUCAUGGAUACAAGAUGCUGGGCAGAAAUCAUGUAUUGAUGGGGAAACCAUUCAUCUGAGUGAGGCCUACCUCUGCGUAGACCUUCCCACUGGUAUCCUAACCUUUUCUGAAAUGGCUGAGCAAUCCCUGAAAGGCACACCAGGAGCGGAUGUGCAGAAAGGCAGCAAGAGGAAGGAUGAGAUACCUGGUUAUCUGGUUUCCAAACUUAAGUCAUGCUCAUACCAUAUACCACCGUCCUGUUUUUCUUGCCAUAAACUGGUACUGUCUUUACAAUGAUUUACUUAAUAUUUUCCCUUAAGUUGACUCAGAAAACUUUAUGGACUUACUUUGCGAAGAACAUCAAUAUUGAAAACAGAUUAGUCUUCUGCGUUUGUCAACAGAACUUUUUCAGUUAUAGAAGGAUAUUAUUGCCUGCUGUUGGUUUUCCUUGUGAUGGUUGCCUGUGAUUUCUUUGUUAACAUGGAUAUCUCAGAGGUGUUAAUGGCAGAGUAAUGUGAUCUAGUUCCUUCUCUUUUUGAUUGUCAGAAUCAAAAAGAUUGGAAGAGAAUUGGAUGGGGAAUAACUUUCUCACCCUUCAACACUGCAUUAUUGCUUUAUGUGUAUAAGACCUAAAAGAAUCGUGGCAUGUGUCCAUCUGGGAAAUGAUGGUAGAAUGCAUUCAUGAUUAUGUGCAGAUCAGAUUGGAAGAUGAUGCGGAGGGAAACUGGAGGCAGGGGGAAAGAAAGGAGCCAAGAAAAAGCAAACGCAUGCAGGCUCUGGCUUCUUUCCACUAGUAGAGAAACACAGUGAUGGAAAGGAAAAUGAUCAGAUUUAAAGUCAGUCUUACCCACAGUCCCUCUGUGUUCUUUCACGCAAUCCAUGUGUAUUAAUCACCUCCCGUGUACCAGUCACUGUGCCGUGUACUCCAUGAGAACAAAACCCGAUGUCAUGCGGGACUCAGUUCCGCAGGAAACAGACGGGUGUGUGCAGAGCUGUGGCAGCUACUAGGAAGCCACCUGCCUCAGAUUCUGGGGACCUGCAACAGCAAUGGUGAGAAGGAGGUCCCUGGUGUGUCGCCCUGUUGUAGUAUUCUAACAUCGAGGACAACAGAAAGUAAUCCCAGCCAAACCAGCGCAUUUGGGAAAAUAGAACGCAAUGUCACGGCGGUUUGGGCCUCCUGACUUUCUGGGUCAGUGGGAAGGUAUUGUUCCUGCUGCACUAUGGUCUGCUGACUGUAGAAGGGGGAGCAUCGGUGCUGGACACCAGGUGCCAGUGGCCAUUACAUUUCCAAAGCUCAGAAGCAGUGGUGGCUCAGGCAUCUGCAGAGACGUGGAUGGACUUAGACACUGUCAUGCAGAAUGAAGGAAGUCAGGAAGACAGAAACAAAUUCGUAUAUCAAUGCAUACAUAUGGAAACUAAAAAAAUGGUAUAGAUGAACCUAUCUGCAAAGCAGAAAUAGAGACACGGAGAGCAAACGAAUGGACAACAACAGGGGAGGGUGGGACGAACUGGGAGACUGGGACUGACACAUACUGGAUGUCGUUCAGUCGCUCAGUCGUGUCCGACUCUUCGAGACCCCAUGAACCGCAGCACGCCAGGCCUCCCUGUCCAUCACCAACUCCCGGAGUCCACCCAAACUCAUGUCCAUUGACUCGGUGAUGCCAUCCAGCCAUCUCAUCCUCUGUCAUCCCCUUCUCCUCCUGCCUUCAAUCUUUCCCAGCAUCAGGGUCUUGUCCAGUGAGUCAGCUCUUCGCAUCAGGUGACCAAAGUAUUAGAGCUUCAGCUUCAGCAUCAGUCCUUCCAAUGAACACCCAGGACUGAUCUCCUUUAGGAUGGACUGGUUGGAUCUCCUUGCAGUCCAAGGGACUCUCAAGAGUCUUCUCCAGCACCACAGUUCAAAAGCAUCAAUUCUUCAGCCUUCAGUCUUUUGACAAAAUGUGGUCCACUGGAGAAGGGAUUGGCAAACCAUUUCAGUAUUCUUGCCUUGCGAAUGCCUUAAACACUAUGAAAAGGCAAAGGGAUAUGACGCUACAGACACUAUGCAGAAAACAGAUAACUAAUGAGAACAUGCGGUAUAGUACAGGGAACUCUCCUCAACACUUUGUGGCGAUCUCCAUCGGAAGGACACCCAAAAGAGAGGGCAGAUAUAGGGAAUAUAUGUACACAUAUAUCAGUAGCUAAUUCACUUCACUGAACAGCAGAAACUAACACAAUAUUGUAAAGCAACUGUACUCCAAUUUAAAAAAGAAAAAGUCGAACUUGCUGCUGCUGCUGCUAAGUCGCUUCAGUCGUGUCUGACUCUGUGCGACCCCAUAGACAGCAGCCCACCAGGCUCCCCCGUCCCUGGGAUUCUCCAGGCAAGAACACUGGAGUGGGUUGCCAUUGCCUUCUCCAAUGCAUGAAAGUGAAAAGUGAAAGUGAAGUCGCUCAGUCGUGUCUGACUCUUCGCAACCCCAUGGACUGCAGCCCACCAGGCUCCCCCAUCCCUGGGAUUCUCCAGGCAAGAACACUGGAGUGGGUUGCCAUUGCCUUCUCCAAUGCAUGAAAGUGAAAAGUGAAAGGGAAGUCACUCAGUCAUGUCUGACUCUUCGUGACCCUAUGGACUGCAGCCCACCAGGCUCCUCCAUCCAUGGGAUUUUCCAGGCAAGAGUACUGGAGUAGGGUGCCAUCGCCUUAGGACUCACCAAAAGUUUCGCUGAACAGCCUGCCCAGUGUGAUUCCCGCGGAUGUCCCCUGUGUGGGUAUUAGUGGCUCCCGUUGGGCUCAUCCUGUCCUUCAGGUGACUCUAUCCGAGCGAGGCUUGCAGACCAUGGUGUUUGAGCAGGUGGCCACCAGCCUGGUUCUACUCUUCCUGGGCUGGACCAAGUGAGGAGAAGCACAAGUGGGUCCCCAGUGUUCAGCAGCUGCCCAAGCUAAGUUCACAGCUCUGCGGGAAAAGCCAGGUCAGCUUGAUGGCUCUUGACCAAGGCUUGCUUAGAGUCCUGACCACUUCAUAAGUGAAUGUGUAUUAUUUUGCAAUCAGAUAAUAGCUGUGCCUUGUUUGUGAUUGAAAAUGGAGGACUUCCAGCCCGAAGGCCAACGGGAGCACAGAGGGGCAUUUUGCACCAUGUCCUCUCAAAUCUCUCUCCCAUCCCACUCCGCCUCUUGGAGAACUUGUUUUAUGGAGUGUUCCUUUCAACGCUCUUCCAGUGAGGAGGUUAAUGCAAUGUCUCCCGAAGAACAAAGCACUUUUACACGCAUUAUCUAUUGCCAGCUACCCACAAGCGAAGCAAAGUCCUUCUCGACAGUUGGCAGCUUUAAUAAAAGACUAGAAAGCUGAAUAUAUUUGCAUUUAUUUUAGUUUGUUUAUAAGCCAUAUCAUGCAGCAUGUAGGAUCUUAGUUCCUUGACUAGGAAUCGAACUUGUGCCCUCUGCAUUGGAAGCUCAGAUCUUAACCACUGGACCACCAGGGAUGUCCCUUGCAAUAAUUUCAGAAGUAAUUUUGGAGUGUUCUAGUACUCAUCUCACAAACCCACCUCAACCUAGUACCUUCCUCUUUCUCUGAAAAAAAAAAAUGAUGUAAAAUUGUUGAAGCAAUGGUAUGAACAGUGGUCCAUUUUGAUUACUUUGAAUUACAAUAAAUUCUGGUCAUUUUAAAAAGGUUUCUGUCUUUAGGAUUUAUCUUCUUGCCGUGAGAGAGGCCAGUAGGUGUCCUGGGUGUGUAGAUGGGAAAAGGAGGUGAUGGACACAGCGCCGGCCUUGCAUCAACACAGUCCAUCCUGUGAUCAGUCACAUGAUCCCUGGAGUGUGUCAACCUGAGCAUGUCUUCAGAUAAGAAAUUAAAUAUCUGUGUGUAUAUAUUGAAUUUAUAUAUAUGCUGUAUGGCUAAUGUAUAAACACUUUUGUGACAUGAAGAAACAUGGGAGCAGAUAUAAAGGAUACAUGUGGUGAAUAGCAGGAGGAGAAGAGGAGACAGAAGAAGGAAGGAAGAAAGGCGGGAAGAGAGAGGGAUCAGUUAACCCUAUCCCACCCUACAGAGAAGCUAGGCAUUGAUUUUGAUAAUUAAAACUAACAUAUUUUGGCCUCUGUAUUCCAUUUGUGCUUUUUCUCUUUGCUUCCUUCUUCUCAAGAAUCUUUUCGUUGGUACCCAACUCUCUUGUUGGUACCCAAGGCCCCGUCCUGAGGGACCUGGGCUACCCUUUCACCUGCAGGUAUUCGCCAGUGAUUGGCCGAGCUAAACCCCGAGUCACAGAUAUCUAGGAGCCUGUGAGCCCCCGGGCCUCACCCCGUCCCCAGCCGGCUGUGCCGCUGACCGGGAUCCAGUGCGUCCUGGCGCCCGUGGGACUUCCCACAGUUGUGGCCUGGCCUUGAUGCCCAGCCGGCCUCCCCUCUUCACUUUGGAGCCCCACAGGGUUUUGUUCUUCAGGUUGGAAAGUAACCCACUCAAGGCAGUUUUUUUUUUUUUUUUUUAAUUGUGGUAAAGUACAGAGAACAUAACAUUUACCAUUAAUUUAUAUAUUAUCCUUUUAAAGUAGUUAGAGUCUCUCAGCCAACGUUACUGAAAAGUUUUACAUCUGUGUCUACAAAUGUUUUGUCUAUAGUUCUCUCAUUGGGCAAUUUGUCAGGUUUUUCUAUCAAUGUUGCGCUCACGUUUUUUUUUUUUAAUUGCAGCAAAAACCACACAGCACUUUGGGUGACGAUAUAUUGGUGAGGAGUCAGCGGUUGUAACAAGUGUCCCGCGCUGGUGGGGGCGCUGAUUGUGGGGGAGGCGAUGGUACAGGCGGUAGCAAGUCUGUGGGGAAUCCCUGAACCUUCUCUCCACUUGGCUGUGAACCUAAAAUUGCUCUAAGCCUAGCCUAUUAAAAAACACACGACAUGCAAUUGGCCACCUUAAUCACCCUUAAGUGCGUAGUUCCGCAGCGUUGAAUGCAUGUACAUUGUUGUGGUGCCUAUCUCCAGGGCUUUCUGUACGCAUUAGGACACUCUGGACGAUUAAACAGCAGUCUCCUUCCCCUCUUCCCCUUUCCCAGACCCUGGUAACCACCAAGCUACUUUCUCUUCGUAUGAUUUUAUUUUCAUAUAGGUGGACUCUAUAGUAUUUGUCUUCUGGCUGUUUUAUUUCACUUGGCCUAGGUGGCUCAGAGGUUAAAGCAUCUGCCUCCAAUUCGGGAGACCUGGGUUCGAUCCCUGGGUUGGGAAGAUCCCCUGGAGAAGGAAAUGGUAACCCACUCCAGUAUUCUUGCCUGGAGAAUCCCAUGGACAGAGGAGCCUGGCGGGCUACAGUUCAUGGGGUCACAAAGAGUCGGACAUGACUGAGCCACUUCACUUUCACUUUCACUAAGGCCCUCAAGGUUCAUCCGAGUUGCAGCCAGUGUUGGGAUGUCCUUUUCAAAGGCUGAAUCUUAUUCUAGGAAAUGGGCGGGCCACAUUUUGCUCAUCCAUUUAUCCAUCAAUGAACACUCGGGUGGCUUCCAGCUCUGGCUAAUUGUAAAUAAUGCUUUAGAGUACUAAUAUCUCUUCAAGUCUCUGUUUUGAUCACUUUUUAGCACAAAUUUUACUUUUCAGCAAAUUUCAAUAUGAUACAAUGUUAUCAACUAUAGUCACCAUUUUACACAUUGGAUCCCCAGACUUUAUUCAUCUUAUAGCUGAAAAUUUGUACCUUUACCAAACUUUCCCAAUUCUCUGCCUCCGGCCCCCAGCCACCCCUGUCCCUGGCAACCACUUUUCUACUUUCUGUUUCUAUGAAAGCUUUUUUUUUUCAAUUCCACAUGUAAAUGAUCCCAUGCAGUAUUUGUCUUUCUUUGCCUGGCUCAUUUCACUUAGCUCUCCAGGUUUGACCAUGUUGUUGUUGCAAAUACAAGAUUUCCUUCUUGUUCAGGACAGAAGAAUAAUACUGUGUGUGUGUGUGUGUGUGUGUGUGUGAGAGAGAGAGAGAGAGAGAGACAGAGAGAGAAAGUACCAUAUUUUCUUUAUCCACUCACCUCUACAAACCCAGAAGUGGGAUCUCUGGAUAACUUGGUAGUUCUUCUACGUUUGCCCAUUUUUAAAUGUAUAAUUCAGUGGUAUUAGGUACAGUCACCUUGUUGCGCAUAGAUACUGAAGAUUUGGGGAUCAAGCACACAAGUACCGGUUUUACCCAGCAGGGAGGCCGCCCCAUCUCCAGGCUUAGAAAGAGAACCCUGGGGUGUUUCUUAGGCGGGCUUCUCACUGGCCUCCCUUCCAGCCUCUAGUCACCCACUGUGGUUCCAGUGCAGCCCUUCUGGACUCUGGCCCUCUGCUCUCCCUCCGUCUUCACUGAGCCCCUGCUGGGAGCCCAGCGGGGUCCCUCCUGGCCAUGCACUCUCCCCCCAC
ensembl:lncRNA